CUUCUAGUUACCUAAAAUGGCAUAAAGGCUCUUCAUCUGAUAACAAUGGAUGGUAUACUUUAGAUAUACCUGACCCCAAGGCCAAACAUUGGGACUAUGUUGAGUUUGCUGUCUAUGCUCCGACAACCUCAGUCAGACCCACAGGGUGGAUGACUGUUGGCCACACCCUGAUUAUGCCACCUAAGGCAACCAUCCAGGUAGUCGAACACAUCAAGGAGUCAGAAUCAAAACUUCAAGAUCUUAUCCAUAGCCCAUCCAAAGAGGAUUCAGAGCCUUCAACCCCCUCAGGUCCCUCUCCCACAUGGCUCAAUUUGCUACACCAAACUCUUCGAUUAUUAAACUCCACCCCUAUUUCUGUGCCUACUUCUCAGUGCUUUCUCUGUGCUUCACUUAGUCGUCCACUUCUAGCAGUGGUCCCAUUAGGGGUAGGAAAUAUUUCAGCAAAAACCUACAAUUUCUCUAAGAACGGACAACCCCUACAUGUGACACAUAUCCCACUAUGGGAAAGUUAUUCCACCAAUACUUCAUUUCCUUUCAUCUGUUUCCACCUGCCAACAAUGAAUCCUUUACCCAUUUGUUCCUUGAGCUAUAGCACCCCAUCGAGCCCUGCGUUUAUGCAACCUGGACAUUUCCUCUGGUGUAACGGGUCUUUAAGUACCUCAAUGAUCAAUGUUUCUGGCACCUGUUUCUUGGUUACUGUAGUUCCUCAGCUGUCUUUGUAUACUCCCACCGAAUUCCGACAGUUGGCCCUACCUUCCUGCACCCAUAGGGCAGUCUUUCUGCCGGUUCUGGUAGGCCUCACUUUAACAACCUCAGUGGUGAGUCUCGGACUCUCUGGUGGAGCUAUAGGUCAUGCUCUAUGGGCAUCCAAUGACCUGCAACAAAAACUGCAGGAAGCACUCAAUACCACUGCUGAGUCUCUGGGCUCCUUGCAGCGGCAG
rnacentral:lncRNA from 1 species